rnacentral:rRNA from 1 species
UGGGGAAUUUUGGACAAUGGGCGCAAGCCUGAUCCAGCCAUGCCGCGUGAGUGAAGAAGGCCUUCGGGUUGUAAAGCUCUUUCGGUUGGGAAGAAAUUGCCUGGGUUAAUACCUCAGGUAGAUGACGGUACCAGCAUAAGAAGCACCGGCUAACUACGUGCCAGCAGCCGCGGUAAUACGUAGGGUGCGGGCGUUAAUCGGAAUUACUGGGCGUAAAGCGUGCGCAGGCGGUUAUGUAAGACAGAUGUGAAAUCCCCGGGCUCAACCUGGGAACUGCGUUUGUGACUGCAUAACUAGAGUACGGCAGAGGGAGGUGGAAUUCCGCGUGUAGCAGUGAAAUGCGUAGAUAUGCGGAGGAACACCGAUGGCGAAGGCAAUCCCCUGGACCUGUACUGACGCUCAUGCACGAAAGCGUGGGGAGCAAACA